rnacentral:rRNA from 1 species
GAUGAACGCUGGCGGCGUGCCUAAUACAUGCAAGUCGAGCGAACAGACGAGGAGCUUGCUCCUCUGACGUUAGCGGCGGACGGGUGAGUAACACGUGGAUAACCUACCUAUAAGACUGGGAUAACUUCGGGAAACCGGAGCUAAUACCGGAUAAUAUAUUGAACCGCAUGGUUCAAUAGUGAAAGACGGUUUUGCUGUCACUUAUAGAUGGAUCCGCGCCGCAUUAGCUAGUUGGUAAGGUAACGGCUUACCAAGGCAACGAUGCGUAGCCGACCUGAGAGAGUGAUCGGCCACACUGGAACUGAGACACGGUCCAGACUCCUACGGGAGGCAGCAGUAGGGAAUCUUCCGCAAUGGGCGAAAGCUUGACGGAGCAACGCCGCGUGAGUGAUGAAGAUCUUCGGAUCGUAAAACUCUGUUAUUAGGGAAGAACAAAUGUGUAAGUAACUAUGCACGUCUUGACGGUACCUAAUCAGAAAGCCACGGCUAACUACGUG